AACGGAUAAGUAAAUUGAAAUCACAACUUAUGAAAUCACAACCGAAGGUAAUCAAUUCAUAUUACAAAUAUAAAUCAUGGCUUUGAAUUAACCUCUAGCCAACAUAAAUUUAAUUACACAUUAUUAAAACAGAAAUAAAAGAGAAGUUUGGAAAAAUUAAACCGAAAGAGGAUGAUCUGUUGCUGUGCAGCUUCACUGCGUCGUCAGUACGUGCUCUGUCAGUCACUCCUCUCUCCUGCACGUCCUCUCCUUCUUCCUGACCUCCCGCGCCUCACUUGCCCCGUCAGCCUUCCACGCUGACUGCUUUCCUUCUCAGCUUCUUUCUGCUCGGUUUCCUCUCGAACACAAGCUGCCACGCAGCAGCAAUUGCCGAGCUGCAAGGUCCUUCUAUUUUCAAGGCUGCACAGCAGCCAAGUCCACGUGCUCUCCCUUGUUUCACGCUGCCCAAGCAGCGUUUUUCAGUCUUUUCUCGUGCACAAGCUGCAAGGCAGCAGUGCCCUCUCAAUUGCUGCAAGGGCAGCAGUUUUGCUCGGUUUGUGCUCUCUCUCGCUGCCCAAAGGCAGAUUGUUUAUUUCCUGCGCAAGACAGUCUCUCGGUUUCUCCCCAAUCCCGUGCGCACUCUGCGCUUAUUCCCCCGCAGCUUCUUGCUGCUCUCUUUUCACGCUGCCCCAAAGGGCAGCUCUCCCCCCUCCUUUCUUCACGGAUUUCCACUCUUCUCUGUCUCCUCCUAUCUCCCGCUCCCCAGACCCCCAAUUAUUUUUCUCUCUGCGAACUGCCCAAAGGGCAGUCCCUUCUCCCGCUCCAAGACCCCCUUUCUCUCCCUACCCGUGUCAGUCUUCUUAUUUCAUUCUUUUCCUCUUUUCACGCUACCCCCCGUGUCUCACGUUUCCCUGCUUCUCUUCUUUUCCCCCUGCCAAGGGCCCGUGUCUCCCUUGGAUUCUUCUUUUCUGCCUUUCUUUUCUGGCAGCCUCGCUGCCUUCCCUUUCUUCUCACGUCCUUCCCCAAUUAUCCUUUAUUCUAUUAUUCUUUUCGUUUCUGGUCCCUGCCUUUGCGUCUUGGAUUCCUUCCUUUCCAGCUGCAAAGCAGCUUCCUGUUGUUUUCAGAAGUGAAGAAUAUGGGAGUCAACGAGGUAAAAAAAAUAUAAAUCAUGAUGCUCUCUUGCUCCCUCUUUGACCGACUCUCCCCAUUUCUUUUGUUUAUGCCGUGACAUAAUUCUACCAAUAAUCCAUGACAGAAUGAGAACGACUAAAGCAAUUUUCGACGAAUUUAUUAUUUAAAACUCAUUUGUGCUAUUUUUAUUUUCUUUGCAUAACAACUCCUAUAAACACAAAAAUAACGUAAAUAGCUCAAAAAUAUAAGGAACUAACUAAGAAAAGACGAGUGAAUUCGAAGUAAAAAUAUAUAUAAAUAUGAUCCGAUCAAAUACCCCCACACUUAACUUUUGCUAGUCCUCGAGCAAAACAAAGAAAACAAGAACAAGAAGUAACAAGAAAAAAAAAAAAAAACAUUAGCUUCCCUCUAUGUGACCCUCAUAGAAUUUCAUUUAAGAAAACAAAUUAUCAAGAACCAUAGCUAGCACCAAACAAGUUAAUCCAAGUUCAAAUUCCUAAUUCAAAUAUUAGCAGUAAUCUUUAAAUCAUCCUUGAAGUGUAGUGUGUGAGAUAGUCAUGCUAAUGCAAUUUCAAGUUUUUAUUUUUAAAAUCAUCAUAUGCAAACUAGCGACAUUCUCACGGGAUAUACACUCAAUCACACAUGUGUUUAGUUUAAAUGUGUUUCGCUCAAAGAAUCAAAUGUGAAAUUUCUACCAUAAGCUUGCAUAAAGAUCACUUCUCCACAGUCAUAAUUGCAAAACUUAAAUCAAGAGGACUUUUAUUGGAUGUAAUGAGGCUUAGGGAUAGGGUUAUUGAAACGAAAGAAUAGGAAAACACAAGUUCCAAGCUACAUUGCAAGCAAUUCUUUUGUUUUAGAUUUAUAAGAACUCAAGCUUUCCAACGAUUCUUUUGAAACCUCCAAUCACACCCUUAAACUGAAACUUUAAAAACAUUUUUUUUUUUUUUUCUUUUCUUUUCUUCUCUUUUUUUUUUUUUUUUUUUUUUUUUUUUUUAAAUACAAACAUGAAAUACCCCCACACUUAUUCUUUUGCCAAACACCUUCAAAGUACUUCACAAACAUUUCUCAUAAGACAAUCUCACAUUGCUCGCUUGGAAAGGGUAAGGAAAAAUGUUUCAGGUAUAAGGGUAGACAUAUCUGGUGAUAAGAAAUAAAAGGCUCAACAAACACGGCUCAAAUUGGCAAACUAAUGAUAUCAUUUUUCUUUGGGAAACAUGGUUAUUUGGGCCAUAGUGGUAAACCUAAUGCCUCUAUCAUUUCCAAGUUCAUGCAAUCAAUGACAAACAUUUCGAAAGAUCGUUACGCAAGUUCUAGAGAUGUAUCUCACAUAAGUUCAUCACACAUGAAAGAAUAGGAGUGUAUGAAAAAUGCACACAGUUUCAAUCGGCUCAAAAACUCACAUAGGAUGUAUAUGGUCACUAAAUUCACAUAUGAAGCUUUAAGUCAUACUUUAGUUUCACAUUAACAAGGCUAUGUGCAUUUGGUUUUUCAAAGAUGAUCAAACAUGUACAAAACUAACAAAAGAAUUAGGAAUUUCACAAAACACAUGUUAACUAAGUUCUUGAUGAUCAUGGUUCAAAUUUUUUUCAAUUAUAUCAUUGGGUCGGGAAACUAACAAAAAUCUAAUUCAAAACAAUAAGGAAAACAAGACAAUAUUUUUGGAUUUUUAAAUUUUCCGAAUUUUUUUUUUUUUUUUUAAUUUUUAAUUUUUUUUUUUUUUUUUUUUUUUUAAUUUUUUUUUUUUUUUUUUUUUAAAAGAAAACAAAACUAAUUAAGAACACAAAAAAAACAACACAGAGACAAAUGAAAUUCUAGAGAUUUCUACCCCCACACUUAAACUUGACAUUGUCCCCAAUGUCAGAAAACACUAUAAUGCAAAUAAAAAAUAAAAUAAAAUAAAUAAAUAAUAAGAAACAAAAUAACGCAAUUGGACUGAAAACUUCCCUAAUUUGCAGUAAAAUCAAGCGAUGACCCCCAAGCUAAAAUUCUGCAAUCAACUUCAAGGGUGGAAAUAACCAAAAGUUCCUGCAAAGAAAAGAAAUAAUUCAGUUAAGUACGCAAGAAAAUUAAUUAAAAAAAAAUUGCAAACGAAAAAUUGAAAAUUACGAUAAAAGAUAAUGAAUAAAACUAAUAAGUAAUCAUUGGUCGUGCUUGUUGACUUUCCACAGCUUUCCUCUUGAACGGGGUGACACUUAGCUUUUUACUAUUUGAUGAUAUUGUACGGCGGAGCUUUGCUCUUUGGUGAUGUUGCAGUUCCUUAUUUGUUCUCCAAGCAGAUGUGGCAGCUUCUCUAGUUCUUCAUCUCAGACUCCUUCUGCUGGGAUGAUUGUGCAAGCUGCAUUCUUCUCUGCUUGUUUCCUCUGCAUGGCGGGCAGGCACGAGGGAGAGGUGUUGGUCUGUUUCUUUCUUCAAUCUUUCCAAGUGCCCACCUCUUGCUCUCUUUCUCCUUGUCCUUAGUUGAGGAUGAAUCAGCACGUUGUCUCCACAUGCUUCGAGGUAUCAUCUUCACUUCCCUUAUACGUAAGAGACGAAGAGGAAACACAAGAUGAUGAGUACUCGAGAGCAAGUGCUGGCUGGAGAAAGGACAGGGAGAAAGCAUGAUAUGAGAUACUCUUGCUUUCAACCUUCAUGAUAUGAAAUACUUUUGCUUUGAAUGGGUUGUUCGCAGGAGUAUCCCAAGGAAUGAGGAACACAGAGUAACUUAGGAGGAUUCUUUGGGAAUGCAUUUUCGGAGAUGAAGAAGUGUUGAGAGGGUGUGCUGAGAGAGUGUGCUUUUGCUGUGGAAGGCGAAGGUAGAAACUUAUAGGGCUUUUCUUCACAACCGGAACUAUUCUCUCACUCAUUGUCGGCAGCCGGUGGAUGGAUGAAUAGUACACAUUACGCGCUUUCUGACAAAGCUGCCCGUAAUUUCCGCAAAGCAGAUUCCUCAUUGAUAUCUGGAAUCGGCGCUUCGAGCUCUGAGCAACGUCGAUUGUAGAGGUAGCAUGUGACACGUGCGGAUAAAUCUGGAAAAGAAGAUUUGCCCGUGGGUUGAAGCCCAGCUUUUGAGAAAGCUAGCGUGUCUUUGACUGUUGAAUUUCCCUCUUCGAUUUCUGAAUUGGUGCUUCGACAAACUGCCCGAGAAUUUCGCAAAGCAAUUUACGUGUGACAAGUGACGACACGUCUGGACAAAUUGAUCUUUUGAAAUCCGGGGUUCGGCUCGUGGUUUCUGAGCAAGCCCAGCCUUUAAGAAAUGAAACGCCUCUUUUGAGAAAAGAAUCCGGCUUUUGAGAAAGGAGCCCCGACUCUUCGAUUUGCGAGAGGACGCUUCUCUGAGGAGCGCCUCUCCGAUUUCUUCUUUUUAUAGAGGCGUUAAGCUUGUUCCACAACACACUUGAGCACCCUCCUGUAAACACUCUCUUCUUGCACUUGUUUAAUCUUGAUCAUUCCGACUCUCUUCUUUCUUCACCACCUCUGAAAAAUGUCUGGCCCUUCCGAUCGUCGUUUUGACUUGAACAUUGGUGAAGAGGCAGCUCCGCCUUCACCAGACAAUAUAUGGCGCCCAUCCUUCAUAUCCCCUACCGGUCCUCUUACCGUGGGGGAUUCGGUGAUAAAAAAUGACAUGACCGCUGCGGUGGUGGCCCGAAACCUUGUCACUCCCAGAGAUAACCGACUGCUCGCUAGACGGUCUGAUGAGUUGGCUGUGAAGGAGUCUCUGGCUCUUAGCGUGCAGUGUGCGAGUUCCGUAUCCAACAUGGCCCAACGCCUAUAUGCCCGAACCCGUCACGUUGAAUCGUUGGUGGCUGAAAUACAGAGUCUCAAAGAGGAGAUUAGAGGACUCAAGCAUGAAAAUAAACAAUUGCACAAGCUUGCACACAACUAUGCCACAACCAUGAAGAGGAAGAUUGACCAGAUGCAGGACACCGAUGGUCAAAUUUUACUUGAUCAUCGGAGGUUUGUGGGUUUGUUCCAACCGCAUCUGCCUUCGUCUUCUGGAGCGGCACCGCGUAGUGAAGCUCCAACUGAUCAACCUCUGCCGCCUCCUCCUUCUGUGGCCCCGCCGACUGCUGAAGCCCCGCCGACUGCUGAAGCACCACCCGACCAAUGAAUACUAUUAGUUUACAUUAUUGUAAAAUAUUUGCAUUUUUUUUUUUUUUUUUUUUUUUAUUUUUUUUUUUUUUUUUUUUUUUUUUUUUUUUUUUUUUUUGCAUUAAUUUUAAAUUUUAUCUUUUUUUUUUUUUUUUUUUUUUUUUUUUUUAAUGUGUAAAUUAAUGUAAAGAGACUUUGGUUAACCUUCCCUCACACUUAAACUAAAUAACACAAACUCACAGAAAUCAACCAAUUAACACAACUAACUAAACAAAACAAAAUGAAAGCAGUAAAGAUAAGGGUGGAAGAAUGCAAAGCUGAUUGGGUUAGUGAUUCCAAAGUCUCCCUUCGUUGAAUGCUUGGGUUGCCUCCCAAGAAGCGCUUGAUUUAACGUCUUUAGCCGGACGCAUCUUUCCUUUAAAUUUCCCUCGGCUCCAUUUGAACCUAAAAUCAAAGAAAGAAAAAUAAAUCAAAUAUCAAAAGUAAAAUACACAAACACCAAUAUAAACAUAAACAAAAACAAAAAUAAAAGGAUUAGCAAAGUUGCUAAUCCCCGGCAACGGCGCCAAAAUUUGAUGCGAAAUAUAUAAGCACACAAAUUAAACCCUCUUUUUGACAAUUGUAGUAUAGAUGUAAGUAGGGUAUCGUUCUAGGCCGGGGAUUAGGAGGGAUUGCUAAUCUAUUCUAAAUUAAUUUAAAAAUAUUAAACAAGACUCAAGGAUACAAAACUAGGCUAAAAACUCUAAUAACUCGAAACACACUUAAAAUGACUCAAAAUAAUGAAAACAAUUAAAUUAAACACUAGGAACUGAAAUGGAUGGAAAUUAAAUUAAAAGACUAACAAUAAAGAAAACUAAAUAAAUAAUAUAAUUUAAUAAUGGAUGGGUGUUUGGUUUUGACUAGAAGUAAAUUAAACUUAAAUAAAUUACAGAAUUGACAAAAACAUGAAAUUAAGGUGAAAUGAUAAAUGACGGACUAGCUAGAGGGUUCUUCUCCACACAUGACACAUAUGCAACCUAAAUUGAUUUUCAGUUGUUCUUUCAAUAAAUUGUAGUAUCUCAAUACUCCAGAUUAACCGUGAACAGCACUUUUUUAAUCUUCAAGUUUUCCUUAAGUUAUUGAAUUGGACGGGAAAACGCAUACAACAAUUCAAAACAUUCUUCAAAAGUCCCCUACGUGGAAAGCACAAUAGAGAUACAAUCAAAGAUCAUUAAACUUUGUGAAAACUAUAAGCAUUGACGAGGCAUUCGUAAUUAUGAAAAGCAUGAUACUCUUGCCAAGAAUUUACUUAACGUGAUUGUGACUAGCAACCUUUACUACUUGUGAAAAUAAGUUCAUAACGAUUAGGUGAAAUUCACUUAUAUUCUAGCAUCAAAUUCAUGCAUGUGAAUUAAGCGUGCACUCUCAACCAACAUACACAAAUCAGUUUUUAUACGAACGGAUAAGUAAAUUGAAAUCACAACUUAUGAAAUCACAACCGAAGGUAAUCAAUUCAUAUUACAAAUAUAAAUCAUGGCUUUGAAUUAACCUCUAGCCAACAUAAAUUUAAUUACACAUUAUUAAAACAGAAAUAAAAGAGAAGUUUGGAAAAAUUAAACCGAAAGAGGAUGAUCUGUUGCUGUGCAGCUUCACUGCGUCGUCAGUACGUGCUCUGUCAGUCACUCCUCUCUCCUGCACGUCCUCUCCUUCUUCCUGACCUCCCGCGCCUCACUUGCCCCGUCAGCCUUCCACGCUGACUGCUUUCCUUCUCAGCUUCUUUCUGCUCGGUUUCCUCUCGAACACAAGCUGCCACGCAGCAGCAAUUGCCGAGCUGCAAGGUCCUUCUAUUUUCAAGGCUGCACAGCAGCCAAGUCCACGUGCUCUCCCUUGUUUCACGCUGCCCAAGCAGCGUUUUUCAGUCUUUUCUCGUGCACAAGCUGCAAGGCAGCAGUGCCCUCUCAAUUGCUGCAAGGGCAGCAGUUUUGCUCGGUUUGUGCUCUCUCUCGCUGCCCAAAGGCAGAUUGUUUAUUUCCUGCGCAAGACAGUCUCUCGGUUUCUCCCCAAUCCCGUGCGCACUCUGCGCUUAUUCCCCCGCAGCUUCUUGCUGCUCUCUUUUCACGCUGCCCCAAAGGGCAGCUCUCCCCCCUCCUUUCUUCACGGAUUUCCACUCUUCUCUGUCUCCUCCUAUCUCCCGCUCCCCAGACCCCCAAUUAUUUUUCUCUCUGCGAACUGCCCAAAGGGCAGUCCCUUCU
rnacentral:lncRNA from 1 species